AAUUAUUUGCAGGGGGACUCUUGUUACGAGUUGAGAAGGUUAAAACCUGACCCUUUGAACCUGUCAGUUAAUACUGGCGCAGGGAGCAUGAAGUACAUAAGU
rnacentral:ncRNA from 2 species